rnacentral:rRNA from 1 species
GACGAACGCUUGCGGCGUGCCUGAGAAAUGCAAGUCGAGCGGGGUGUAGCAAUACACCUAGCGGCGAACGGUCGAGUAACACGUAAGCAACCUGCCCUGCAGUGGGGGAUAACAGCGGGAAACUGCUGCUAAUACCGCAUAGGCAUAUUUCUGGGCAUCCAGGGAUGUGUAAAGGCUAGACUGCUGCAGGAGGGGCUUGCGGCCUAUUAGCUAGUCGGUGGGGUAACGGCCUACCGAGGCGACGAUGGGUAGCUGGUCUGAGAGGAUGGUCAGCCGGAUCGGGGACUGAGACACGGCCCGGACUCCUACGGGGGGGCAGCAAUCAGGAAUAUUGCGCAAUGGGGGAAACCCUGACGCAGCGACGCCGCGUGCGGGAUGAAGGCCUUCGGGUCGUAAACCGCUGUUGUGGGAGGACGAAUGACUGUCGAUGAGGCGAGUGGAGACGGUAUCUCACGAGGAAGCCCCGGCGUAACUACGUGCCAGCAGCCGCGG